rnacentral:piRNA from 1 species
UAACUGUUUGAAAGAGUGCUUUUAUGAGG